rnacentral:rRNA from 1 species
UACGAAGGGGGCGAGCGUUGUUCGGAUUUACUGGGCGUAAAGGGCGCGCAGGCGGCUCAUUUUGUCAGGCGUGAAAGCCCCGGGCUUAACCUGGGAACUGCGUUUGAUACGGGUGGGCUAGAGUUCGGGAGAGGAGAGUGGAAUUCCCAGUGUAGAGGUGAAAUUCGUAGAUAUUGGGAAGAACACCGGUGGCGAAGGCGGCUCUCUGGACCGAUACUGACGCUGAGGCGGCGAAAGCGUGGGGAGCAAACAGG